UGGCAUCUCUCUGGUGUGAACUCAGAUCUCUUUUUCUGUUACGGCUAACCCCUAGAGGUCGUAACAAGGAGAGGAUCAGACAGU